rnacentral:rRNA from 1 species
UACGAAGGGGGCGAGCGUUGUUCGGAUUUACUGGGCGUAAAGGGCGCGCAGGCGGCUCUUUUAGUCAGGCGUGAAAGCCCCGGGCUUAACCUGGGAACUGCGUUUGAUACGGAUGGGCUAGAGUUCGGGAGAGGAGAGUGGAAUUCCCCGUGUAGAGGUGAAAUUCGUAGAUAUUGGGAAGAACACCGGUGGCGAAGGCGGCUCUCUGGACCGAUACUGACGCUGAGGCGCGAAAGCGUGGGGAGCAAACAGG